rnacentral:ncRNA from 1 species
AACCACACACGCGGGAGUGCGCACGAGCGCGCUGAGAGGACGGGUACGCCCGUCGACCGUACGAACCUGACCGGGUAAUGCCGGCGUAGGGAGAUUUUUAUGACCGACC